UCAGAUUGAACGCUGGCGGCAUGCCUUACACAUGCAAGUCGAACGGCAGCACGGACUUCGGUCUGGUGGCGAGUGGCGAACGGGUGAGUAAUGCAUCGGAACGUGCCAUUGAGUGGGGAGUAACGUAGCGAAAGUUGCGCUAAUACCGCAUAUUCUGUGAGCAGGAAAGCAGGGACCGCAAGGCCUUGCGCUCUUUGAGCGGCCGAUGUCAGACUAGCUAGUUGGUGAGGUAAAGGCUUACCAAGGCGACGAUCUGUAGCGGGUCUGAGAGGAUGAUCCGCCACACUGGAACUGAGACACGGUCCAGACUCCUACGGGAGGCAGCAGUGGGGAAUUUUGGACAAUGGGGCAACCCUGAUCCAGCCAUGCCGCGUGAGUGAAGAAGGCCUUCGGGUUGUAAAGCUCUUUCGGCCGGGAAGAAAUCGCAUGGGCCAAUACCCUGUGUGGAUGACGGUACCGGAAUAAGAAGCACCGGCUAACUACGUG
rnacentral:rRNA from 1 species